AGGAUACGUGUCACCCUUGGUUCCUUUUAAAGGGGAGGUGGACAAUAAAAUACAGACUCCCCCGACGCGUCUAUCACGGCAACAACACAGAGGAGCGCAUACACACCACUCACACCUCCAACUAUUGACUGUUGUAUCUAGUGUUAUAACCGGGAUGUGACAGUUUAGUCUGGGAGCAGAAAUAACCAACAUGCCCAUUAGACACAGGAUGGAAUAAUGCUUCUAUUGGUUGGGUCCCUUCGAGAUUCAGUUGAGAGGCAAACGUGGAUGUGGAUUUUGGAGAAGGAUGCCUAAGGACUUCCAGGUCACCCACCCACCCACCACCACCACCACCACCACCACCACCACCACCACUAUCAGCACCCUGAAGAAGGGAAGAGAGGAAAACCAACCCCAGGGUGCAGGCCUGCCUGCUGCAAGCUUUCCAGAGGCAAAACUGACUGACGGCCUCUCUCUCACUCUCAUCUCCUGUGCCCAGUGUGACGCCAAGCCCAACCUGGAUUUGUUCUGAAUGGGGGGGGGGGGGGAGUGAAAUACCACAAGAUCAGUAGCAAGUAGCAGCUGCAGCGUUUUCUCUCCUGGGAACCCCACUGCUUAGAAGCCUCCCGAGUGAUGUUUGUUUAACCAACAGCUUUCAAAGUAAACAGAAGCCAAUCACUCCAAAGAAGUUGAAAUAUAACCCUUACAAGAAUUUGGUUCCAGGGGUGCUGGCAGAAGGAAAGUAAAUUUUUAAAAUGAGAAAGAACCCACUCCCAAAUAAAGAGUCUGCCACAUUGCUUUAAGGAAUGAAGAAUUGUCAUGAAAAUAUAAAUUCAUCGAAAGGGUUCAUUACAAUAAGUUGGCCUCGAAGAAAAUCACUCUUCGCCCACAAAGACACACCCGCGGGGAUGAGGGGGUUGUCAGUGAUUGAAGGGACACACUACUACUUGAUUUUAUGAAAGUGGGCGAAAACAAUCAAAGGGAAGUACGUUCCCUGCCCUGGAGUAGAAAAGUGUAGGCUGGGAGCUCUUCGCCGCCAGCUCUGGCUUUGCCUCAGGCACCGAACUUUCCAAUACCAAGAUAUUAACAGAUGGUGAUGAGCACAAGGAGGGCUGCUACUUACAUAAUCCAGCCACUCCGCCCGGCUGCCCAGAGCCCCGCGAGGAACCCGCCAGGCCGCGCGCGCUCGCCUUCCGAGGGCUGCUCCCUGACCUAACUCGCCUUUCUCCAACCCCACCCAGCUUUUGAGGUUUAGCAUUUGGAGAGGCCGUGAUUGAAAAAACCAAACAAAAACAAAAACACCCAAAA